AGCAUCCAGCAAGACAUGGUGGUGAACCCUGGCUCUAAGUCUUCAUGAUUAAGCGACUCUUUUGCACAACACAAAGAAACACUUCGGCUCUAAGAGGCAUUUUUCUGAGGCGAGCAUAUUUAAACAGCAGAAUGGGCUCUUGUGGCUGGUGAUAAAAUUCCCUCUUCUGUCGUUCUCAAAAAAACAAAAUAAAACAAAACAAACAAACAAACAAACAAACACCAAACCAGGAGUUUUGAAAUUUACACAAUUUCCAGAUGACUCUCUUGAGAUCUUCGCACUCUAUGAUUCUGCAGGUCUGUGAAAAAUUAAGACAAUUUAAAUCUGGAGUCAUUUCUUCUGAUACCUGAGCCUUUAGCUGUUUGUUAC
rnacentral:lncRNA from 1 species